rnacentral:rRNA from 1 species
GUAGGUGGCAAGCGUUGUCCGGAAUUAUUGGGGCGUAAAGCGCGCGCAGGCGGGUUCUUUUAAGGUCUGAUGUGAAAGCCCACGGGCUCAACCGUGGAGGGUCAUUGGAAACUGGAGAACUUGAGUACAGAAGAGGAAAGCGGAAUUCCACGUGUAGCGGUGAAAUGCGUAGAGAUGUGGAGGAACACCAGUGGCGAAGGCGGCUUUCUGGUCUGUAACUGACGCUGAGGCGCGAAAGCGUCGGGGAGCAAACAGGAUUAGAUACCCUGGUAGUCCACGCCGUAAACGAUGAGUGCUAAGUGUUACGGGGGGUUUCCGCCCCUUAGUGCUGCAGCUAACGCAUUAAGCACUCCGCCUGGGGAGUACGGCCGCAAAGGCUGA